UUGCAUUCUUAAAUUCUCUUGGUAGCUUCACUCUAAAUGCUUCCAAGAUAUGAAUGAAUGCUAUAGAAAUUUCAGAGGAGUCCAAAGGACUGCAUCUCUCCUGUGGCUCAGUCUUCAGACCUGUGGGA